rnacentral:rRNA from 1 species
GGCUUCCAUGCACUCAAACGGUAACAGGAAGCAGCUUGCUCUUUGCUGACGAGUGGCGGACGGGUGAGUAAUGUCUGGGAAACUGCCCGAUGGAGGGGGAUAACUACUGGAAACGGUAGCUAAUACCGCAUAACGUCGCAAGACCAAAGAGGGGGACCUUCGGGCCUCUUGCCAUCGGAUGUGCCCAGAUGGGAUUAGCUAGUAGGUGGGGUAACGGCUCACCUAGGCGACGAUCCCUAGCUGGUCUGAGAGGAUGACCAGCCACACUGGAACUGAGACACGGUCCAGACUCCUACGGGAGGCAGCAGUGGGGAAUAUUGCACAAUGGGCGCAAGCCUGAUGCAGCCAUGCCGCGUGUAUGAAGAAGGCCUUCGGGUUGUAAAGUACUUUCAGCGGGGAGGAAGGGAGUAAAGUUAAUACCUUUGCUCAUUGACGUUACCCGCAGAAGAAGCACCGGCUAACUCCGUGCCAGCAGCCGCGGUAAUACGGAGGGUGCAAGCGUUAAUCGGAAUUACUGGGCGUAAAGCGCACGCAGGCGGUUUGUUAAGUCAGAUGUGAAAUCCCCGGGCUCAACCUGGGAACUGCAUCUGAUACUGGCAAGCUUGAGUCUCGUAGAGGGGGGUAGAAUUCCAGGUGUAGCGGUGAAAUGCGUAGAGAUCUGGAGAAUACCGGUGGCGAAGGCGGCCCCCUGGACAAGACUGACGCUCAGGUGCGAAAGCGUGGGGAGCAAACAGGAUUAAUACCCUGGUAGUCCACGCCGUAACGAUGUCACUGGAGGUUGUGCCCUUGAGGCGUGGCUUCCGAGCUAACGCGUUAAUCACCGCUGGGAGUACGGCGAAGGUAAACUCAUGAUUGAGGGGGCCCGCACAGCGGGGAACCUGUUAAUUCAUUGCACCCUACCUGUCUGACUAGUCAUGG